CUUGUUGCAACAAGCUGAAUUGCUGACUACCCUUUCCAAGAAGGUUAAUGCAGAAAAUACCAACCAAAGUCUUGAUGAGGCUUGGAAGGAGCUUCAAGAGUACUUGAUUCAAACUGAAGACAGUGGGCUACUAAGAAAAAGAAUUGCUAAUUUUGUAAUCAGGUUGUUGAAGUACCAAAUGUCAGUUGGGAUGAUAUUGGUGGGCUGGAAAAUGUCAAGAGGGAA